rnacentral:lncRNA from 1 species
UCUUGAUCAUUAAGAGUAACUUUGUGCUAAUCACGUCGGCGCUAUAAUAACCUUGCAACAUCAGCUUCCGUAGGUUCACAUCUGUUCUGCCCAAGCAUGCGGUAGGGACGAAGCUGAGAGAAUCUGAAGGCUUGGAAAGUUUGUUUAUCUCGUUUGAUUUCAAGCUGACCACGGGUUCCCUCUCGUUCUCCUCCCAAAGACUUUUUAAGCGAUAAACUCUCCCACACAGCGCUGUAAUCAAGUGAGGCAACUCGUCUGCCAGAUGCCAGAACAGGACUCAUCCUCUACUCAGUCAACCAGUCAAUCUCGUAGCGUUUUGGAGGAUUUGAGGCAUGGGAUCUCAAAUAUCCAGUCUUUCAAGCCACACCCCGGUAUGAAUUACCACAGCUUACUCUAAUGUGCUCCCAACUAUUUUUCUUGAUUUUUUUCCCUUUUAUAAAACCAACAUCAUCUGUGCUCAAACUUUGUGGCAUUGGUGUUCACACAUUGUGGCACCUGACCUCGAUUAGCUUGGUCUUUUGGUGUGGUCAAUGGGUUUAUUUUACCUCUUUUCUUUUAUUUUGUCUUCAGCAAUAGCUUGGCUUUGAAGUUUGUUCGUUUAUGGUCAACGAGUCCGCUAAGUCAACUGGGGUCGACCACAUGCAGUGAUUUCUCACUCUUUACAUCAUCUGCAAUUUCAUAGAUUAAUCCAUCAUAAGUAUUUGAUGGCAUUACUUGUCUGGUUAUGAUUGGUUCCCUGGAUGCGUUUUAGACUUUAAUCCAUUGCCACUUCUUUUUCACUUUCCAUUUUUUUCUUCACGAAAAUUAUUUGUAGGAUCUCAUUUAUUAGAUGAUAUUGGGCCGGUUAUUUGGCUUUAUCCAUGAUUUGCAAGUAAUUUUCAUGGGGAGUUCUUGCCGAGAUCCCCCAGAAGAGUAAUCUCUACCAGUUUUCGGCAAUCCUAUGAACCUCAUUUAAUGAUCAUUUAAUGAUCUGCUUGAAUGUGUGAGCAUAUCAUAUUCUCCUGGGGAAUCUCAAUGAGCGACCCUGUGUUUCUGAUUCUGGUUCUUUCAUCAGGCGAAGAUAGGAGCGAUGUGAAGGCCGCUGAAGAACAUGGAAGCCCGGCUCUAUCGUCGGGACCAAUGGGAGUCUUCUCGAUCCAAAACCCUGAUUACAGGCAGCCCAUCUUGAGUUCAUCUGGUGUAGUAAGGAUAUAUUUAUAUACAUGCAUUUAUAUAUAUAUAUAUAUUUGAUCACUUCAUAUAUAUAUAUUUUUUGUGUGAUUAUCCGUCAUUUUAUUUUACUCAAUCUCUGCCACAGAAUUGCAUUCCCUACACGUAUGUGGAACCCUACUACGGAGGCUUCAUGGCUGCCUAUGGAGCUCAUUCUUUCGUAAGUGGGUCCUGGAUCCUUUUUUUUUUUAAUUUUCCUCAUUGAUUCUCCAAACAUACCCAAAUACCCAAGAUAGCAUAUUUUUGUGCUUUCUUUUCAUUUUUCUUUUUAUUUUUCUUUUUGAGGAAAAAAAUUCCUACCUCCCGGUUCUUUGGUUCUUUCUCAUGAGGCAUCAUGGGUGAGCUCUCAAGUACCUCUAGAAAUGCGCCGGUUUCUCUCUCUUCAAGUGUGAGCUCUCAAGUGCCAGGACGGGUGGUGGAGCUCUCACUAGCGAACCCAGAUGCCCAAAGUGCGAUGCCAUGUUCUUCAUUCAUGAGCAGUCGAGCCUCUCUCUCUCUCUCUNNNN